UACGAGGGGGGCGAGCGUUGUUCGGAAUUACUGGGCGUAAAGCGUGCGCAGGCGGUUCGUUGUGUCGGCGGUGAAAGCCCCGGGCUUAACCUGGGAAUGGCCGUUGAAACUGGCGAACUGGAGUGUGGCAGAGGGGGGUGGAAUUCCGCGUGUAGCAGUGAAAUGCGUAGAGAUGCGGAGGAACACCGAUGGCGAAGGCAGCCCCCUGGGCCGGUACUGACGCUGAGGAGCGAAAGCGUGGGGAGCGAACAGG
rnacentral:rRNA from 1 species